AUUAGUUUUUAGAUUAUUUAUAGUCUAUUAAUUCAAUCCCGGGGCGUUCUAUAUAGUUAUGUAUAAUAAUAUUUAUAUUAUUUAUACCUCUAACUAGAGCGUACCUUGAGCAUAUAUGCUGUGACCCGAAAGAUGGUGAACUAUACUUGAUCAGGUUGAAGUCAGGGGAAACCCUGAUGGAAGACCGAAACAGUUCUGACGUGCAAAUCGAUUGUCAGAAUUGAGUAUAGGGGCGAAAGACCAAUCGAACCAUCUAGUAGCUGGUUCCCUCCGAAGUUUCCCUCAGGAUAGCUGGUGCAUUUAAAUAUUAUGUAAAAUAAUCUUAUCUGGUAAAGCGAAUGAUUAGAGGCCUUAGGGUCGAAACGACCUUAACCUAUUCUCAAACUUUAAAUGGGUAAGAACCUCACCUUUCUUGGUAUGAAGGUUGUGGUUGUGAUAUAAUGUGCCCAGUGGGCCACUUUUGGUAAGCAGAACUGGCGCUGUGGGAUGAACCAAACGUAAUGUUACGGUGCCCAAAUUAACAACUCAUGCAGAUACCAUGAAAGGCGUUGGUUGCUUAAAACAGCAGGACGGUGGACAUGGAAGUCGUAAUCCGC
rnacentral:rRNA from 1 species